CUAGCUCACAGAAACUGCUGCAGCAGGGGAAGAGAGGGUGAAGGGUCCUGCAUCUGCUGGGAAGUGAUACCUGCCGCUUCAUGCUUCACCAGCCAGAGGAUGUCAGAUUGCCACACCCAACUUCAACAGGCAAGGAGUGGCAGACUCCUCUGGGAAAUGAGAUAUGGAAAUAUCGAGAGCCCUGUCAUGGAUACCACACUGAAAGCCAAAGUCCUUACGUCCAACCUCUGAUGCCCUGAAGAGGAGGAUGGGUCGGUCUUGCCCAUUCACCUGGAUACUGCAAAGGAUGGAUGACAAACGUGCUGUGGACUGUCAGUGGCUGGCGCCACAGCCUGUGAGAGAAAGCUCUGCUGGAGGAGGCGGCUCUCAUCAUCUUGAAGAGGCCAGAUUUGGAUCCUGAGAGAUGUUUAUUCUCUCAGUUCUUCCCCCAUCAGUGUGUUUGAGAACCACCUCUAAAGUCCGGUUGCCUGGAUGCAGGCCUCCCUCAAGGAGCCAGUUUCUGUACUGGCCUGCAGCCAAUACAUGCAGGGGAAGGAGCCCAUCACCGAGUAGGCCACAGUGUCCUUCUGGGUGCUUCCUUUAAUGUGACAGGAGAUUGCUGUCUGAGUUGGUGUCAAGUGUCUGGGUUCAAGCCUCUGCUUUUGGAACGGUGGGAUUCCAGCCACCCACCACUCACCAUGCUCCUGUGCCUUUUUAUAUAAACACCAAGCGACGGCAUUUAAAAGCCAGUCUAGCAAAUGGGGUAAAACGUUACCAUAAUGUCGUAAUGGCCCUUCCUGCCACCCACCCACAAAGGCUCUUAUGGGAGAGAAUGAAGCUCUUGCAAGCAGGUGUCAUGGGGAUCCCAGAGAUGGGGUAAAGAGAGAACAGGAAUGAGAGUGGAAAGUCCCUUCUCUCCAGAAACAAAAAAAGCCCUUUAGGGUCACCGGAUAUGUCUGUCUGCCCUGGGCCAGUGCUAAGCUUCCCUCUUCUUGUUGUGGAUGAACAUCAACACCACAGAUUUGACCUGCAUCUGCUCCUGACGCACAGCUGUGGCAAAUGGGGGCAGGUGGGCAUGGGAGUCAUGGGCAAGGCAGGCUUACGGCCAAUGUGUGCAUUAACCAAGGAAUCGCUUUUUCAAUACCCGUCACAUCUGGCACUCAAAACUCACAAAGCUCGAAGACAAACGUCAAUGCGUGUAUUAUGAGUCAUGCCGGUCUCUCUCUCCUCCCUCUCCCCAAAUUCAUCUAGUUGUCCCUACUGAUACUCUCAGCUUUUCAGAACGAUUCAGAUGGAAGGUUUAAGCAUACACAACCAGAUGUGUGUAGCACAGGGUUCCACAUAUACUGCUUGUACCCCGCUGUGUUCAUGUAGUGAUUUUCUCCUCCCAGGAGACAGUGACAGUGUCCAUAGUUGGUUUCUAUUUUUUGGCUCCAUAGUGUUUCCUCAUGUGCUGGGGAGCAUGCGCUUAGUAUCUGAGGAGUCAGGCUCCAGCCUUUUGGGGGAGUCUUUUGCUGUAGAAGUAAUGGAGUAUUGAGGCAUGAUGAGACAUGAAGGAUUGUCAGCCGUGUCCUGCCCAGCACUGCUACCACUAACCACAAUGCAAGCCCACAGCUGAAAUGUGGCUGGUCCCAUCAAGGUUGGCUACAAAAGUAAAAUGCAAACUAGACUUUGACGAGUUAAUUUUAAAAUGUAAACCAAACCG